rnacentral:rRNA from 1 species
AGACGUAGGGCGCGAGCGUUAUCCGGAUUUAUUGGGCGUAAAGGGCUCGUAGGCGGUUAUGUAAGUCGGGUGAGAAAACUUGGGGCUUAACCCUGAGAUGCCAUCCGAUACUGCAUUGACUAGAGUUCGGUAGAGGAGUGUGGAAUUCCUAGUGUAGCGGUGAAAUGCGCAGAUAUUAGGAGGAACACCUAUUGCGAAGGCAGCACUCUGGGCCGAUACUGACGCUGAGGAGUGAAAGCGUGGGUAGCAAACAGGAUUAGAAACCCUAGUAGUCC